ensembl:snRNA U6 U6 spliceosomal RNA
GAGCUCUCUUCAGCAGCAUAUAUAAUAAAUUGGAAUGACAAAGAGAUUAUCAUGACUUCUGUACAAGGGAUGACUCUCAAAUUCGUGAAGCAUUCCAUCCUUUU